GGGGAUGUGGUUCAAUGAUAGAGUACUUGCCUAGCAUGCAUGAGAUUCUGGGUUCUAUUCCCAGUAUCACAA
rfam:Ictidomys tridecemlineatus contig054845, whole genome shotgun sequence.